AGGACGAACGCUGGCGGCGUGCCUAACACAUGCAAGUCGAGCGAGGAGAUUCCUCGGGAUGAUCCUAGCGGCGGACGGGUGAGUAACACGUGGGCAACCUGCCUCAUAGAGAGGAAUAGCCUUCCGAAAGGGAGAUUAAUACCUCAUAACAUUGCAGUUUCGCAUGGAACAGCAAUUAAAGGAGCAAUCCGCUAUGAGAUGGGCCCGCGGCGCAUUAGCUAGUUGGUGAGGUAACGGCUCACCAAGGCGACGAUGCGUAGCCGACCUGAGAGGGUGAUCGGCCACAUUGGGACUGAGACACGGCCCAGACUCCUACGGGAGGCAGCAGGUGGGAAUAUUGCACAAUGGGGGAAACCCUGAUGCAGCCAACGCCGCGUGAGUGAUGACGGCCUUCGGGUUGUAAAGCUCUGUCUUCAGGGACGAUAAUGACGGUACCUGAGGAGGAAGCCACGGCUAACUACGUGCCAGCAGCAGC
rnacentral:rRNA from 1 species